rnacentral:rRNA from 1 species
ACGCUCGACACCUACGGAAGGCAGCAGUUGGGAAUAUUGGACAAUGGAGGAAACUCUGAUCCAGUGACGCCGCGUGAAGGAAGAAGGUCUUCGGAUUGUAAACUUAUUUUGUCAGGGAAGAAAAAUGACUGUACCUGAAGAAAAAGCACCGGCUAACUACGUGCCAGCACGCCGGACGGUAAUCUGAGGCCGGGCGUGGACGAAGGC